CGUGGGUAACCUGCCCAAGAGAUCGGGAUAACACCUGGAAACAGAUUCUAAUACCGGAUAACAACAGAUGAUGCCUAUCAACUGUUUAAAAGAUGGUUCUGCUAUCACUCUUGGAUGGACCUGCGGUGCAUUAGCUAGUUGGUAGGGUAACGGCCUACCAAGGCGAUGAUGCAUAGCCGAGUUGAGAGACUGAUCGGCCACAUUGGGACUGAGACACGGCCCAAACUCCUACGGGAGGCAGCAGCC
rnacentral:rRNA from 1 species